GCUCAACUGAAACCUCACAGAAAGGGCAAGCAGACUAGUCUUCUACUCUUAGAGACACCAAAGCAAUGCUGAAUGUUGAUACCCUAGCAAGCAGCGAGGUCUCUGAAUCUGAGAAACAGGAAUCAGGGAAAGCAGCAAUAUGCCUUUAGCCAUACAGAAGAACAGAGUGUAACUCAUUACUACAAAUCUGGACGAGGUGAUUAAGUUAAUCACUUUAAGGGCAUCACAGGAAGCUAGAAAGAAAAGUUUGUGUGGAGAGACUCGAAUUGAACAAAA